rnacentral:lncRNA from 1 species
GCCAGGGAUUGGAAGGUGUAACAAGAAGAAACUGCUUAAUGGGUAAGAGGUUUGACUUUAAAGUUGUGGCAAUGUUCUGGAACUAGAUCGAGGCAGGUACUAAAUGCCACUGAAUUGUUCACUUUAAAAUGGUUGAUUUUAUGUGAUAGGAAUUUCACCUGAAUGAAUUAUUUUUAAAAAAUCACGAGAAGACCAAAGCCAUUCUUUAAUGGACAAAGGAACAAUCCAGCAGGAAUAAAGAGCACACUCUCUAGAGGAGGUGGGCACCUCUUCUCGUUUGUAAGGUAAGGAUGACAGUAGUCUCUAACUCACAGGGGCUGGUGGGUAAGUAGAUGAGGUAGUCCAUGCAAAGAACUUAGAACAGGUCCAUGCACACAGUGAAUGCUCCAUGUAUGUUUUCCAUCACCAUUAUUAUUAAUUCUUGCCCAAGAACCCACUAGAAAGCUUCCUCAAAAAGUCCUAACACAAGCCACUGUCUCCUUCAUUCCUAUUAAGAUGACAAAAAAUAAACUAUGGACUCCACAGCUGAAGACACUCACAGGUCUUGGUGCCCAACCCAGCUUCUUUCAAAAUGCUGUUCAUGAAAUUCGCUGCAAGCUCAGCUUUGACGGUGAUCAUUCCACGCUCUCAAGUGCAUACAGGUUGGUCAAAGUGAACACCAGUUUUGAUGCUGUGAUGCUCUGAAGAUUGAAAUGGCCGUCAAGACCAAAGGUGUGGAUGAGAUCACCAUUGUCAACAUUUUGACCAGCUGCAGCAGUUAACAGAGAAAGGAUACUACCUUCACCUACCAGAGAAGGACCAAAAAAGAAACUUGC